AAUAAAUGAUGUAACAAUCAAAUACCUGCUCACAAGAGAAGAUAACUUUGCAAUAAGAAAAGACGGAAUAACCAAGUAGUUUUAUUAUAUUGGUGAAACCAAAACAUUUGCAGUUAACCAGGCCACCUGAGGAAUUAGUUUUCUAUAUAUAGGCAUGGUCUGUUUUGGACUGUUGGAUGUAAUCCUCAGAUUUCCAGGGGUUUCACUCUUACUUUCUCUGCACCCCUGGAUUAUGUCAUGACGAAAUCAAAGGCACGCUGUUAGCUAUUUCAUUGUUUUCAGCUUAAAAUGACUGACCAAUGUCUAAGCUGUCCUUUUAAGAUUACAAAAGGGGGAUGCCCGAAUUCAAAGCUGGAUGAUUUUACCAUUACUCUGCCACAAAAUAUUCUGUUGAUGUUCGUCUGUUCUUCAAAGGAUCAAAUUAGCCUGCAGUGUAACAUCCAUAAGGUAGCGCGUACAAUACCAGGUCUUUGAUUUGCUCAUGUCAUAUUCUAGGGGGUAAUGAACAGAAACAAGAGUAACCCCGGGAAUUCUCAGGAUGCAUUGGAUGUUUACAAAAAAGUUCCUUGUCAAGGGAGACAACCAUGACGAGACUUCAAUCAAAACUUGUAUUUAACACGAUUUUCCAGGUAUUAGUUUUUUUCCAUCGAACAAUGGUACUUAUAUAUACAGUUUUCUUCCUUUGUUAUUUUUCUGAAGUUGUUUCAUAAUUUAAUUUCGUUUUUAAAUAAGUUUAUUCUUAUCGUAAAAUACAUUUGCAUAAGUUUGUAUUAUUUUCUAAAAAAAUAAAUAUUUUGUGACAUUAGAUAAUCUUUCAUAAAAAACAUUGUACAAAUCGCCUCGCUAUUUCUAGUGAUUAUUUUUGGAGCGAUUUGCAAUUUUUAGAAAAAGUAUACUCAGUGUUAUUCAGGCUGCUGAUCUGGACAUAUUAAGUUAUCAAAUAGCCAGUAGUUGAUUUCUGAUUGAUGGAUUCAGCAGACUAGCUUGAAUAUUUUUUGGACCAAUUUCCACCGAACUUUCGCCUUGUUAAUAUAUGAUAUUAAAAGGCUGCAUCUGUUUAAAACUUAAUUGUAAUACAAUGUUGCAUCAUAUUUUAGAACGUGUACAUUGUUAAAGACGGCCUCAUAAUGCAAACCCUUGAUAUAUAGGUGGUGUGUGUCGUUUUCCCAACACUUAAAAAUGUUGUGUGUUAGGUUUUUUGUGUAGUUUUCCCAACACGUUUGUAUGUUGUAUGCCUGAGGUUGUGGGUGGGUUACAUAUGUAACCAGUUUUACCACGUUACUAGAUAUGUUCGUCAGAGGAAACUACAGACAUGCAUUCAUUGUAAAAACAAGACAUUCAUGUAACACUAUCUAUUAUUACAUUAUAUCAUUUUUCACUGCAGAAUAUCGACUAGAUUUCCCUACAGGAUUAUACUUACCUUUACACCCCUAUGUAGCUAUAGUAAACUCUAACAUGCAUUGAUUUGGAUGAGUCCAUUAUGGUCUACAGUGGUGAAAGGGUUUAUCUUCUCUCCAGUAAACCGGGAAAAACACAAUUUCCUGACAAAUAUAUCUGGUAACGGUAAUAAAUUUAUGUGACAAUAUUUUAUUUAUCCACCAAUAUUUUGGAUAAAGCCCUGCUGUGUUGGUUGGCUUUGAUGUAGAUAUAUAAACCAGAAACACAGGCCCAAGGCUAGUAUGAUGUGUAUAAGGACAAGAAAGGAGGGAUGAAUGAGAUAACCGAUGAAUGAGAUGACGGAUGAACGGACAAAGCGUACUAAGUUUCUGUAUAUACAAGCCUUUAAUAUGAAUUUCACAAUGGCUUUGCCUGGUGUAAAGUGAGGUAUAUAAAAACAAUUUUUUUUAUUAUGAAUAUUGUUUUGCUACAAUUACUUAAGAGCUUUGUUUUCAUAAACAUUUGCUUUGUUAAAAUUAAAAAUAAUAACUAGUGCCACCAGUUGUAAAUAUGGUAGCAUUGCCAGUAGGUUUAAUCUCUAGAUAACUGCCAUAGUAUGUGUGUUGUAAAAAAUCAUUUGUUUUUUGUCAAAGAUUGUUUCGAAGAGUGAACAAUUACUUAGCAUAUAAGUGUCAGAAGAAUUUAUCAGCAAGUAAAUGUAUAUUUAUUCCU
rnacentral:lncRNA from 1 species